UACGUAGGGAGCAAGCGUUGUUCGGAUUUACUGGGCGUAAAGGGCGCGUAGGCGGCGCGGUAGGUCACUUGUGAAAUCUCUGAGCUUAACUCAGAACGGCCAAGUGAUACUGCAGUGCUUGAGUGUGGAAGGGGCAAUCGGAAUUCUUGGUGUAGCGGUGAAAUGCGUAGAUAUCAAGAGGAACACCUGAGGUGAAGACGGGUUGCUGGGCCAACACUGACGCUGAUGCGCGAAAGCCAGGGGAGCAAACGGG
rnacentral:rRNA from 1 species